GUUGGAGAGUUAUCCCUGCCAGGGGAUCUGUUACUCCCCCCUAGACACCCAGGAAGAUUUGGUGUUGCUUGACAACAGUUUGAGGCAGGAUAAAGAGCUCCAGCAACGAUUUCUUCGGUUUUUGGCAAUCAAAUGUGGGAGGGACCUAAAGACAACCGUGUGGCGAAUGCUUCAGAGUAUCUUCUCUAAUCACCUUUCCAUCAAUACAACCUGGACUGGUGUAGGGGAUAAAGCAUGUUUUAGAGACAUGUUCCUGAAGACCAUUGUUCAAAGAGCCAUCCGGAAGAACCCGGCAACCCAGGAUGCCACUGAUGAGGCGAUCCAGGUUAACGUUACGCGUUACCUGAAAGGAGCAUCUGAACGUGAAGGUGGAAAAAUGCGCCGCACAGCUGAGAGGGACCCACAGCCGACCCCUUAAACCUAGGCUGACUACUGACACCCCAGCAUCACUGACAACUGGAACCCUUUAUUUAUCCUGCAGUCAGUAACAUCAAGACCCCUAAAAAAGCCUGCUAAAAGUGUCAGACUACACUCACCCAAUCCACACUGUUCACUGUGGAAAUUGCUUUUUUUUUUUUU